rnacentral:rRNA from 1 species
AUUGAACGCUGGCGGCAGGCCUAACACAUGCAAGUCGAGCGGUAGCACAGGGAGCUUGCUCCUGGGUGACGAGCGGCGGACGGGUGAGUAAUGUCUGGGAAACUGCCUGAUGGAGGGGGAUAACUACUGGAAACGGUAGCUAAUACCGCAUAACGUCGCAAGACCAAAGAGGGGGACCUUCGGGCCUCUUGCCAUCAGAUGUGCCCAGAUGGGAUUAGCUAGUAGGUGGGGUAACGGCUCACCUAGGCGACGAUCCCUAGCUGGUCUGAGAGGAUGACCAGCCACACUGGAACUGAGACACGGUCCAGACUCCUACGGGAGGCAGCAGUGGGGAAUAUUGCACAAUGGGCGCAAGCCUGAUGCAGCCAUGCCGCGUGUAUGAAGAAGGCCUUCGGGUUGUGAAGUACUUUCAGCGGGGAGGAAGGUGUUGAGGUUAAUAACCUCAGCAAUUGACGUUACCCGCAGAGGAAGCACCGGCUAACUCCGUGCCAGCAGCCGCGGUAAAAC